rnacentral:rRNA from 1 species
UACGGAGGGUGCGAGCGUUGUCCGGAAUCACUGGGCGUAAAGGGCGCGUAGGCGGCCUGAUAAGUAGGGGUGAAAUCCUGCGGCUUAACCGCAGGCUGCCUUCUAAACUGUCAGGCUUGAGCACAGUAGAGGCAGGUGGAAUUCCCGGUGUAGCGGUGGAAUGCGUAGAGAUCGGGAAGAACAUCAGUGGCGAAGGCGGCCUGCUGGGCUGUUGCUGACGCUGAGGCGCGACAGCGUGGGAGCAAACGAGGA